rnacentral:rRNA from 1 species
AGGAAUAUUGGUCAAUGGCCGAGAGGCUGAACCAGCCAAGUCGCGUGAGGGAUGAAGGUUCUAUGGAUCGUAAACCUCUUUUAUAAGGGAAUAAAGUGCGGGACGUGUCCCGUUUUGUAUGUACCUUAUGAAUAAGGAUCGGCUAACUCCGUGCCAGCAGCCGCGGUAAUACGGAGGAUCCGAGCGUUAUCCGGAUUUAUUGGGUUUAAAGGGUGCGUAGGCGGCCUUUUAAGUCAGCGGUGAAAGUCUGUGGCUCAACCAUAGAAUUGCCGUUGAAACUGGGGGGCUUGAGUAUGUUUGAGGCAGGCGGAAUGCGUGGUGUAGCGGUGAAAUGCAUAGAUAUCACGCAGAACCCCGAUUGCGAAGGCAGCCUGCCAAGCCAUUACUGACGCUGAUGCACGAAAGCGUGGGGAUCAAACAGGAUUAGAUACCCUGGUAGUCCACGCAGUAAACGAUGAUCACUAGCUGUUUGCGAUACACUGUAAGCGGCACAGCGAAAGCGUUAAGUGAUCCACCUGGGGAGUACGCCGGCAACGGUGAAACUCAAAGGAAUUGACGGGGGCCCGCACAAGCGGAGGAACAUGUGGUUUAAUUCGAUGAUACGCGAGGAACCUUACCCGGGUUUGAACGCAUUCGGACCGAGGUGGAAACACCUUUUCUAGCAAUAGCCGUUUGCGAGGUGCUGCAUGGUUGUCGUCAGCUCGUGCCGUGAGGUGUCGGCUUAAGUGCCAUAACGAGCGCAACCCUUGCCACUAGUUACUAACAGGUAAAGCUGAGGACUCUGGUGGGACUGCCAGCGUAAGCUGCGAGGAAGGCGGGGAUGACGUCAAAUCAGCACGGCCCUUACAUCCGGGGCGACACACGUGUUACAAUGGCGUGGACAAAGGGAGGCCACCUGGCGACAGGGAGCGAAUCCCCAAACCACGUCUCAGUUCGGAUCGGAGUCUGCAACCCGACUCCGUGAAGCUGGAUUCGCUAGUAAUCGCGCAUCAGCCAUGGCGCGGUGAAUACGUUCCCG